ACUGCAGUCGAGCGGACAGAUGGGAGCUUGCUCCCUGAUGUUAGCGGCGGACGGGUGAGUAACACGUGGGUAACCUGCCUGUAAGACUGGGAUAACUCCGGGAAACCGGGGCUAAUACCGGAUGCUUGAUUGAACCGCAUGGUUCAAUUAUAAAAGGUGGCUUUUAGCUACCACUUACAGAUGGACCCGCGGCGCAUUAGCUAGUUGGUGAGGUAACGGCUCACCAAGGCGACGAUGCGUAGCCGACCUGAGAGGGUGAUCGGCCACACUGGGACUGAGACACGGCCCAGACUCCUACGGGAGGCAGCAGUAGGGAAUCUUCCGCAAUGGACGAAAGUCUGACGGAGCAACGCCGCGUGAGUGAUGAAGGUUUUCGGAUCGUAAAACUCUGUUGUUAGGGAAGAACAAGUACCGUUCGAAUAGGGCGGUACCUUGACGGUACCUAACCAGAAAGCCACGGCUAACUACGUGCCAGCAGCCGCGGUAAUACGUAGGUGGCAAGCGUUGUCCGGAAUUAUUGGGCGUAAAGCGCGCGCAGGCGGUUUCUUAAGUCUGAUGUGAAAGCCCCCGGCUCAACCCGGGGAGGGUCAUUGGAAACUGGGGAACUUGAGUGCAGAAGAGGAGAGUGGAAUUCCACGUGUAGCGGUGAAAUGCGUAGAGAUGUGGAGGAACACCAGUGGCGAAGGCGACUCUCUGGUCUGUAACUGACGCUGAGGCGCGAAAGCGUGGGGAGCGAACAGGAUUAGAUACCCUGGUAGUCCACGCCGUAAACGAUGAGUGCUAAGUGUUAGAGGGUUUCCGCCCUUUAGUGCUGCAGCAAACGCAUUAAGCACUCCGCCUGGGGAGUACGGUCGCAAGACUGAAACUCAAAGGAAUUGACGGGGGCCCGCACAAGCGGUGGAGCAUGUGGUUUAAUUCGAAGCAACGCGAAGAACCUUACCAGGUCUUGACAUCCUCUGACAACCCUAGAGAUAGGGCUUCCCCUUCGGGGGCAGAGUGACAGGUGGUGCAUGGUUGUCGUCAGCUCGUGUCGUGAGAUGUUGGGUUAAGUCCCGCAACGAGCGCAACCCUUGAUCUUAGUUGCCAGCAUUCAGUUGGGCACUCUAAGGUGACUGCCGGUGACAAACCGGAGGAAGGUGGGGAUGACGUCAAAUCAUCA
rnacentral:rRNA from 1 species